rnacentral:rRNA from 1 species
UACGUAGGUGGCAAGCGUUGUCCGGAUUUAUUGGGCGUAAAGCGAGCGCAGGCGGAAAGAUAAGUCUGAUGUGAAAGCCCCCGGCUUAACCGAGGAAUUGCAUCGGAAACUGUGUUUCUUGAGUGCAGAAGAGGAGAGUGGAACUCCAUGUGUAGCGGUAAAAUGCGUAAAUAUAUGUAAGAACACCAGUGGCGAAGGCGGCUUACUGGACGGAAACUGACGUUGAGGCUCGAAAGCGUGGGGAGCAAAAAGG